GCACCCAUGCACACAUACACACAUGAGCAUCCUCCCAGAGUCAUAUCGGAGCUGGGUCCCCAAAGACACCAUAAUGGACACUCUAAGCUGGAAUCGGUCCUUGGGAACAGAAGGGUAAUGUGGAUGAGCAGCAGUAGGAGGUGAAUCAUCAUGCUGGGUAUUCAGAAGAUUUGGCCUCCAUCUCUCCGGGGCUUCAUUAUCAAGCAGGACUUUUGUGCUUGUUGAAGAGUGCCUGUCUCAUUUCCUGCCAUCCCUCCAUCCUCCUGCUCUCUCCUGGGCUCAGGUGUACUUAGAGCCAGCAGCACCUGGUCAUCUUUAAUUACGACCUCGGCUCUGAUCAGCCGCUAAUGGGCCUGGAAGUGAGAGAGAGAGAAUGAGGAGGACCCCAAGAGAGGAGCAUUAUAGUCACUCCACCUUUUUUUUACAUAACCAUUAUUUCUUUUCUCCCUUUAGUUACCCCGGAAUAUAAGGGAAUGCAUAUAUUGGUUUUGGGUUUCUGUCAAUUAAAAUGUCAAAAAAGUGUGAAUCAGUUAUUGAUGGAACUGAACUACUGUAUUUGAAAAUUGCACUAUGUAGGGGGGUACAAAAUUGAACUAUCGUCUCUUUCUGCAAUAUGUAUAAGGAUUAGGGCUGUUAAACUAUUUAUUAUUUAAAUC